CUAUCUACAGGCUUAACACAUGCAAGUCGAGGGGCAGCAUGGUCUUAGCUUGCUAAGGCCGAUGGCGACCGGCGCACGGGUGAGUAACGCGUAUCCAACCUGCCUUACACUCUUGGACAGCCUUCUGAAAGGGAGAUUAAUACAAGAUGUUAUCAUGAGUAAGCAUUUUCGCAUGAUUAAAGGUUUACCGGUGUAAGAUGGGGAUGCGUUCCAUUAGAUAGUAGGCGGGGUAACGGCCCACCUAGUCUUCGAUGGAUAGGGGUUCUGAGAGGAAGGCCCCCCACAUUGGAACUGAGACACGGUCCAAACUCCUACGGGAGGCAGCAGUGAGGAAUAUUGGUCAAUGGACGAGAGUCUGAACCAGCCAAGUAGCGUGAAGGAUGAAGGUUCUAUGGAUUGUAAGCUUCUUUUAUACGGGAAUAAACGAAUCCACGCGUGGAUUUUUGCAUGUACCGUAUGAAUAAGGAUCGGCUAACUCCGUGCCAGCAGCCGCGGUAAUACGGAGGAUCCGAGCGUUAUCCGGAUUUAUUGGGUUUAAAGGGAGCGUAGAUGGGUUGUUAAGUCAGUUGUGAAAGUUUGCGGCUCAACCGUAAAAUUGCAAUUGAUACUGGCAGUCUUGAGUACAGUUGAGGUAGGCGGAAUUCGUGGUGUAGCGGUGAAAUGCUUAGAUAUCACGAAGAACUCCGAUUGCGAAGGCAGCUUACUAACCUGUAACUGACAUUGAUGCUCGAAAGUGUGGGUAUCAAACAGGAUUAGAUACCCUGGUAGUCCACACGGUAAACGAUGAAUACUCGCUGUAGGCGAUAUACAGUCUGCGGCCAAGCGAAAGCAUUAAGUAUUCCACCUGGGGAGUACGCCGGCAACGGUGAAACUCAAAGGAAUUGACGGGGGCCCGCACAAGCGGAGGAACAUGUGGUUUAAUUCGAUGAUACGCGAGGAACCUUACCCGGGCUUAAAUUGCAACCGAAUAUGGCGGAAACGCUAUAGCUAGCAAUAGCGGUUGUGAAGGUGCUGCAUGGUUGUCGUCAGCUCGUGCCGUGAGGUGUCGGCUUAAGUGCCAUAACGAGCGCAACCCUUGCCGAUAGUUACUAACAGGUCAUGCUGAGGACUCUGUCGGGACUGCCAUCGUAAGAUGUGAGGAAGGUGGGGAUGACGUCAAAUCAGCACGGCCCUUACGUCCGGGGCUACACACGUGUUACAAUGGGGGGUACAGAGGGCUGCUACCACGCAAGUGGAUGCCAAUCCCAAAAACCUCUCUCAGUUCGGAUUGAAGUCUGCAACCCGACUUCAUGAAGCUGGAUUCGCUAGUAAUCGCGCAUCAGCCACGGCGCGGUGAAUACGUUCCCGGGCCUUGUACACACCGCCCGUCAAGCCAUGGGAGCCGGGGGUACCUGAAGUGCGUAACCGCAAGGAGCGCCCUAGGGUAAAACUGGUGACUGGGGC
rnacentral:rRNA from 1 species